AGUGAACGCUGGCGGUAGGCCUAACACAUGCAAGUCGAACGGCAGCACAGUAAGAGCUUGCUCUUACGGGUGGCGAGUGGCGGACGGGUGAGGAAUACAUCGGAAUCUACUUUUUCGUGGGGGAUAACGUAGGGAAACUUACGCUAAUACCGCAUACGACCUACGGGUGAAAGCAGGGGAUCUUCGGACCUUGCGCGAUUGAAUGAGCCGAUGUCGGAUUAGCUAGUUGGCGGGGUAAAGGCCCACCAAGGCGACGAUCCGUAGCUGGUCUGAGAGGAUGAUCAGCCACACUGGAACUGAGACACGGUCCAGACUCCUACGGGAGGCCGCAGCGGGGAAUAUUGGACAAUGGGCGCAAGCCUGAUCCAGCCAUACCGCGUGGGUGAAGAAGGCCUUCGGGUUGUAAAGCCCUUUUGUUGGGAAAGAAAAGCAGCAGGUUAAUACCCCGCUGUUCUGACGGUACCCAAAGAAUAAGCACCGGCUAACUUCGUG
rnacentral:rRNA from 1 species